AAUAUUGCGCAAUGGAGGGAACUCUGACGCAGCGACGCCGCGGGAGCGAUGAAGGUUUUCGGAUCGUAAAGCUCUGUCCUUGGGGAAGAAGGUCUUCGGACUUGACGGUACCUAAGGAGGAAGCCCCGGCUAACUACGUGUCAGCAGCCGCGGUAAUACGUAGGGGGCAAGCGUUGUCCGGAAUUAUUGGGCGUAAAGGGUGCGUAGGCGGCCUUUUAAGUCAGGUGUGAAAGCCCACGGCUUAACCGUGGGAUUGCAUUUGAAACUGUGAGGCUUGAGUAUCGGAGAGGGUAGUGGAAUUCCAAGUGUAGCGGUGAUAUGCGUAGAUAUUUGGAGGAACACCAGUGGCGAAGGCGACUGCCUGGACGAAAACUGACGCUGAGGCACGAAAGCUAGGGGAGCAAAC
rnacentral:rRNA from 1 species